ACUAUUUCUUCCUUCACUUUUGGCCUGUCUUCUUCCCUGUUCCCCAGUUCCUUCUUAUCUCUACGCAAGCCAAUAAUCUACGUCUCCUAACUCUUAAUGCUUUCAGAUGACUGCCAACGACGAGACAGUCUUCAAACACAUCAUCGACAAGGCAUAUGAAUCGUUUGCAUCAUACAAAUACUACAGAAAAACAUUCUUUGAUACGUUUGUUGGCAUCAGGAAGAACGGCAAGACCAAGGAUGGCCGAAGGACCAAACUGUCUCAGAAAACCGUUCAGUUCUUGACUUUUCAGCCAAGCAGAAAUCCUUGCUGAUGUUACCUUCUUUUACCUUGAAAACCGGGUCCAUUUUUGCUUGAAGACUCUCCUCACACUCAUCAUAUGAUGUUYGUUUUAUUGGAUGAUUUGACGACGAGACAAGGUAGGAUUGCCAAUAUAAUUAUCUGAUUUAUCAGCACCUGAGUCUCUCGUUGUUCAAUAGUCCAGUAAGAAAAAAAGCUAGUAGUUAGUAAAUUAUAGAUUUCUGGCGCACUCGACUGUACCUUGGUAAAGGUCGUCCCUUGCAGCACGUCGGAAUGCAGCCCUCCGUAAGAAUUCUUUUACGAACCACGAAAAAAGUAAAAUUUUGCAUUAAAAAAAAAAAAACUACGGAGUUUUCUUAGCUACUUCUACACUUGAGACCAUAUCACGUCCUGUGUAGAUCCGGCGUUUAAGUGGUUUAGAAUGAGAAGACAUGACCUUCAAGCUGUAAUAGUCUAUAAAGGUUUUGCAUCACGUACCUACGCCCAUAGCACAGCUUGGGCUGCUCGUGGUUAGAUGGCAGUUGGGCUACCCGUGGUUAGAUGGCAGAACAAUAAAAUCCCUUUACUCUUGGGAAUCGAAUUCUUUCUCGUGUAAAACGAUUGUAUUGUUCCUGCCAUCUAACAUGGCUGCCGUCACGUGAUCAAGUAGUGCAAAACCGCUAUAGAGCUAAUCCACUCUUUUCUAUUUCAGACCACGUGUCAUUCCCUAGAGUAUCAUUUCUUUUUUUAACGGUUGCGCAUGAAUAUGGAUGCAAAUCUUGCAAAGAAUCUUAUUCUCAAGGGAAUGACACGUGUUCUGUAAUGAGGAAACAUCAUGACUAGGUAGAUAGGUCCAUCCCAUUAAGUUUCAUUUCAGUCUAACUUGUGUGCUGUAAAUAAAAUAUUAGACAAGUCCAGCAAUAUAAAUAUUCGUAAGUUAUGCUAGACCAGAAUGCUAGACCAAAACGCACCCUGGUAGAAAACUGACCUAUGAGAGUACCUGGAUGUAAAUAUAAAGUUUGAAAAAUAAAGUUUUAGAUUUUGCA